GACGUAGGAGGCGAGCGUUAUCCGGAUUCACUGGGCGUAAAGCGCAUGUAGGCGGUUGGACAAGUCCUGUAUGAAAGCCCACGGCUCAACCGUGGAGGGUCAUUGGAAACUGGGGGACUUGAGUGCAGAAGAGGAGAGUGGAAUUCCACGUGUAGCGGUGAAAUGCGUAGAGAUGUGGAGGAACACCAGUGGCGAAGGCGACUCUCUGGUCUGUAACUGACGCUGAGGCGCGAAAGCGUGGGGAGCAAACAGG
rnacentral:rRNA from 1 species